AUGCCUUGUUUCUGUGUCUUAUUCACAAAUCUAAUAACACCUGAUUUGCCUUCUAUAACCUAUUUAUUUCAAGUCUUCAUUUUUCUUUGGGAAGAAAAGUACAUCUGCUGGCUCAUUGGACUUCGAAAAGCCUUGAAUAAAAUUGGAAAGGCCGAUAAACUUAAGUGAACUAAAGAGCUAAACUGUUCUGAUAACACAGUUUGUAUUACAUUGAGUAUCAUGGGAGGGAAAGGUAAAAUUAGAGAAAAGCAAGUUUAUACAGACAACACAGGACUCUGUUUUGAGAUUCAGUAGUAAUCCUAUCAGGAGUGUGAUUGAGUACAUUUGUGGGUUUUUGUUUGUUUGUUUUCCAACAUUGAAAAUAAAUGUAGUUCUGCCCUUUUCUUCAAAUAGCUGUGAAAUUUUGGACUAUUACUUAGAACAUGAAUACAUGAUCACAGUAGAACUUAAUCAUAAGAUGAAAUCAUGCAGUAUUUAUCAAUAACCUUAACGUGUGGGAUAAAUGUUUAUGCUCCUCACCAGAUUUGUUUUGACUGGAGCCAGAUUGUGUGAUUGGAAAGGAGAAUUGGACAAUGAACAGUUGACAUGUUUUAAGAUCAACGUUUAAAAAGCUUUAUGCCUGUACACAAUUUGGGGACAAAAAGGCAGGCUUCCUUUUCCUACGUUUGAUGAAAACUGGCGUAAGAUAUUUGUAAAUAUAAUCAAGAGCAAAACUGCACAAACUUGCACAUUGACAAGUGCAGCAAGUUAUUCUGAUUGCAGUAAAAACAUUGACUAUUCUAAACAAUGAAAACUGAAGAUUUAGCCAGUCAGAUGAAUCUUCAAGUGAACCAGUUGUUGAAAUUAUCGGACUUAACUGAGCCAAAGUGAUUAUGCAUUCCUCAUCUAUUUAGUUAGCACUUUGUAUCAUGAUAUACAGUUUACAAUCCAUGUAUAACUUGUAGCAACAAACAUUUUGUGCUAUUAAAGCUAUCACAAAACCCUUUCUGUCAGUAUAUGAUUUUAUGUCCCGUGUGUUGCCUGGGAGCUGAGGGAAUACCGUCGACAUACACAUUUUCCAUUGAGUUGCUCAGAUUCUAGAGGACCUGCAGUGUGUCCGCUCACAGGAGUGGAUGACGUCCCUGCCCUCCUGGGACUGGUACUCUGGGGUUGGGGAGACAGCCAUCACACGACGUGAUCAUUUAUCAUGUAUGAGGUACCACGGGGUUCUGUGUUUAGAGCAGGGCUCCCCAGCCUCCGGGGUCUCAUGCCUGAUGCUGAUCUGAGGUGGAGCUGAUGUCUUAAUAAGAGAAAGUGCACAAUGACUGUAAUGCACUUGAACCAUCCUGAAACCAUCCCCUCCCACUCCUGGCCCUCGGAAAACCGUCUUUCACGAAGCCAAUCCCUGGUGCCAAAAGGUUGGGGACUGCUGGUUUAGAGCAUUUGUUCUGCCAGAAAGCAUCAAGGCAUUGCUCACAGAGGAGGGAAUCUACUGAAGGAUGAGUAAGUGUUCACCAAAUACAAGAGAGAUUACGCACAUGCCUGUAAUUGACACGUGAAAAGACAUUCCGGACAUAACCAAGUUCAUUGUGGCUGGAAAACACGGUAGGUAGAGAGGACACUGAAAGUGUUGUGAAGCGGUGGACCAAAACCGAAGUUUACAUGCCCUCUGAGGGGUUGAACUUAUUUGAAUAGAAAGAUAUCUUUCAAGGGGUUAUUUAAAGCAGGAAAAUGUUUGAAGACAACCUUUAGAUGGUUAUGAAAGGUGAUGAGCACCAAAGGCCAGGAGACCUGUGAACUCUAAGGAAGGAAUAAUGCCGUGCCCUCAGCUGUAACUCUAGGCGGGGGAAGGUGGGCUAGGAUAGGUUUGAGAGACAAAGCCAAGUCAAUGAUGAGGAGAUGGUCGAGAAAGGAAGAAGGCAUGUGUGAUCUUUUUUUUUUGGCCUGAAUGUUUAUUGAUGCCGUUAACUGAGAAAGGGUGGGAAGAAGAAUGGAGUGGUAAGGGGAGAGAGAUUUCAAUUUUGAAUACAUUUCACCUGAUUUGAGCUUACCCAGUAGACACUAUUUUUUAAUUUUUUCCUUUUUUGGCCUUGACAAAGCACCAUGUGGGAUCCUAGUUCUUCUCUCAUGAGUUGAACCCGUGCCCCCUGCAGUGGAAGUGUGGCAUCCUAACCACUGGACCACCCACCAGUGAAGUGCCUGACACGUUGUAUAGAACUACAACUCAGGAGUCAGGUGCGGAGUGGAAAUGAAACAGGCACACUGAGACACACGUGUGUGUAUGGUACCAUAUUUGAAGAUUUGGACAUGAGGACAGAUGAGAGAAGUCAGGAAAAUAGUAAAGUGCAGCGUUUGAGCAGAAGAGAAGCUCAAAAAGGUGAGUGAUGGAAAAUAGUGUGGUGGGAGAACCACCCUUCCCUGAAAAGAGAUGGUGACCAACCCUGUCCAAUUUAAGAGGGUGAAUUGAAAAGAAGCUUGAACUUGGCAAUUAAAUCACUGCUAAUCUUUGCAAGAGCAUUUUCUGUCAGAGCAAAAGAGAGGUCCCAGGUUAAAUUGAAUUGGGUCAAAGAAUGAAUAGCACCAAAGGCCAGGAGACCUGUGAACUCUAAGGAAGGAAUAAUGCCGUGCCCUCAGCUGUAACUCUAGGCGGGGAAGGUGGGCUAGGAUAGGUUUGAGAGACAAAGCCAAGUCAAUGAUGAGGAGAUGGUCGAAAGGAAGAAGGCAUGUGUGAUCUUUUUUUUUUGGCCUGAAUGUUUAUUGAUGCCGUUAACUGAGAAAGGGUGGGAAGAAGAAUGGAGUGGUAAGGGAGAGAGAUUUCAAUUUUGAAUACAUUUCACCUGAUUUGAGCUUACCCAGUAGACACUAUUUUUUAAUUUUUUCCUUUUUUGGCCUUGACAAAGCACCAUGUGGGAUCCUAGUUCUUCUCUCAUGAGUUGAACCCGUGCCCCCUGCAGUGGAAGUGUGGCAUCCUAACCACUGGACCACCCACCAGUGAAGUGCCUGACACGUUGUAUAGAACUACAACUCAGGAGUCAGGUGCGGAGUGGAAAUGAAACAGGCACACUGAGACACACGUGUGUGUAUGGUACCAUAUUUGAAGAUUUGGACAUGAGGACAGAUGAGAGAAGUCAGGAAAAUAGUAAAGUGCAGCGUUUGAGCAGAAGAGAAGCUCAAAAAGGUGAGUGAUGGAAAAUAGUGUGGUGGGAGAACCACCCUUCCCUGAAAAGAGAUGGUGACCAACCCUGUCCAAUUUAAGAGGGUGAAUUGAAAAGAAGCUUGAACUUGGCAAUUAAAUCACUGCUAAUCUUUGCAAGAGCAUUUUCUGUCAGAGCAAAAGAGAGGUCCCAGGUUAAAUUGAAUUGGGUCAAAGAAUGAAUAGCAACUAAGAAAGUGUUGACUCUUCUCAGUCAGUUUGGAGAUGAAGGGAAGAUUUCCAAGAGGAGACCAGCUGAUUGGAUUGUUUGCUUAGGUUGGGGUAUAGAAGGUGGGAGGGGUGAAUGUAGGAUUAGGAGAAGGCACAAAAGGAAAUACUAAAGAUGCAAGGGAGCAGAUAAAUAAUGGUCCUCUGGGAUCAUGACCUGGAGAAUCCUGUGGACAGAGGAGCCUGGCAGGCUACAAUUCAUGGGGUCACAAAGAGUCGGACAUGACUGAAUGACUAAGCAUGCACAAACAGGACCUUAUCCAAGACAAAAAUUAAGAAUAUAUUUAGGACUCAGGAGAUUAACCUUGGAAAGAGGGAGAGGAACCGUUGGAACCAUUCAAAAUUCACUGAACCGAAAUAUUCACAGUAGGAAAUGACGAGAUAGGUGAGAAAAGGUGAAGAGAGAUCUGUGAGCAACACAAAACGGAGGAAAUUCACACAUGAUGGGCUCUAUUUUUCUCCAUGAAGGCUAGGUCUUUAAAGGUGUGGAUG
rnacentral:lncRNA from 1 species